rnacentral:rRNA from 1 species
UACGGAGAGUGCAAACGUUGUUCGGAUUCACUUGGCGUAAAGGGCACGUAGGCGGCUCGGCUAAUCGGUCGUGGAAUCCCGACGCUUACCGUCGGAACGGCGGCCGAAAAUACCGGGCUCGAGGGCGUGAGGGGUCACUGGAACUCCUGGUGAAGCGGUGAAAUGCGUAGAUAUCAGGAGGAACGCCGGAGGCGAAAGCGAGUGACUGGCGCGUUCCUGACGCUGAGGUGCGAAAGCUAGGGGAGCAAACAGG